rnacentral:rRNA from 1 species
UACAGAGGGUGCGAGCGUUGUUCGGAAUUACUGGGCGUAAAGCGCACGCAGGUGGCUGAGUCAGUCGAUUGUGAAAGCCCUGGGCUUAACCUGGGAAUUGCAGUCGAUACUACUCAGCUAGAGUAUGGGAGAGGGUAGUGGAAUUCCCGGUGUAGCGGUGAAAUGCGUAGAGAUGCGGAGGAACACCGAUGGCUAAGGCAGCCCCCUGGGCUGACACUGACGCUCAGGCACGAAAGCGUGGGGAGCAAACAGG